UAACACGUAUGCAACCUACUUUUACAGAGGGAUAGCCCAGAGAAAUUUGGAUUAAUACCUCAUAAAUUUUUUAACUCGCAUGAGUUUUAAAGUUAAAACUUCGGUGGUAAAAGAUGGGCAUGCGUUCUAUUAGUUUGUUGGUGAGGUAACGGCUUACCAAGACUACGAUAGAUAGGGGUUCUGAGAGGAUAGUCCCCCACACUGGUACUGAGACACGGACCAGACUCCUACGGGAGGCAGCAGUGAGGAAUAUUGGUCAAUGGUCGAAAGACUGAACCAGCCAUGUCGCGUGAAGGAUGACGGCCCUAUGGGUUGUAAACUUCUUUUGUAUGGGAAGAAAAGCAGUUACGUGUAAUUGUCUGCCGGUACCAUACGAAUAAGGAUCGGCUAACUCCGUGCCAGCAGCCGCGGUAAUACGGAGGAUUCAAGCGUUAUCCGGAUUUAUUGGGUUUAAAGGGUGCGUAGGCGGCUCUAUAAGUCAGUAUGUGAAAUCUCGAAGCUCAACUUCGAACGUGCUAUUGAAACUGUAGAGCUUGAGUACAGACGAGGCAGGCGGAAUGUGUUGUGUAGCGGUGAAAUGCUUAGAUAUAACACAGAACACCGAUAGCGAAGGCAGCUUGCCAGACUGUAACUGACGCUGAGGCACGAAAGCGUGGGGAGCGAACAGGAUUAGAUACCU
rnacentral:rRNA from 1 species